rnacentral:rRNA from 1 species
CCUACGGGUGGCAGCAGUGGGGAAUAUUGCACAAUGGGGGAAACCCUGAUGCAGCGACGCCGCGUGAGCGAUGAAGUAUUUCGGUAUGUAAAGCUCUAUCAGCAGGGAAGAAAAUGACGGUACCUGACUAAGAAGCCCCGGCUAACUACGUGCCAGCAGCCGCGGUAAUACGUAGGGGGCAAGCGUUAUCCGGAUUUACUGGGUGUAAAGGGAGCGUAGACGGUCCUGCAAGCCAGAUGUGAAAGCCCGGGGCCCAACCACGGGACUGCUUUGGAAACUGUGUUGCUGGAGUGCAGGAGGGGUAAGCGGAAUUCCUAGUGUAGCGGUGAAAUGCGUAGAUAUUAGGAGGAACACCGGUGGCGAAGGCGGCUUACUGGACUGUAACUGACGUUGAGGCUCGAAGGCGUGGGGAGCAAACAGGAUUAGAUACCCCGGUAGUC